rnacentral:pre_miRNA from 2 species
GCUGGAAUUGCUCGGUUAUAUGGUAAUUUAAUGUUUAACUUUUUGAGGAACUGCCAAACUCUUUUCCAAAGUAGCUGUACCAUUUUAUAUUCCCACCAGCAAU